rnacentral:other from 1 species
GCAGGGCUGCGGUUCACGUCGAAACGCAUUGACCCGGGGGCCUAUAAGAUCCGCAAGGGAGCUGUCCCUGGCCGGAACCGUGGUUUCGGACACACGGCGCCCACCUACAUCAAGUAGGGACCACGCGGGAUCACGCUUUCACGGUCCUCGCGGCUCUGCC